CUUUCUUCUUUUACAUAAGUUUGUAAGUGUUUUUGUUGUUUAUUUGUACUGUUUUUUUUUUUGUAAAAAUGUUCAAAGAGAGUCCCUAUAGUUAUGCACUUAAAAAGUAACAUGAAGUUCUCCGUUUAUUUAGUUUAUAUUUUAAAAGUUCAUUGCUGCACAAGCCACACAAAGAGAUUUCAUUCAAGAUUUAAUUGACUGCACUUUAUAAGAGAAUGUUAUGUGAUAAUAAAGCAUUUCAAGCUUUAAGUAUGACUAAUUCCUUUCUUGAUCAACCCUUUACUAAAAACACCAGCACAAAAUAAAACAUACCACUGCUGCGGGUGCCCCGCCCCACAGGAGUCGGGCCCGUGGUGAGCGUCCCUUAUUUUAAUUUCUGAUAGUUGGCAACCCUAGUCCUGACUGACGUGGAAAAGCUGAGCUCAAAGUACCAGACCUCAACACUGGAAGCCUUCCACAGUGUUAUUUUGCGUUUUACACCAAAAAAUGUGGUUUUCCCUUUCAUUGGGAUGUUGUGCAGACUGUACCUGGCAGCCAUGCAUUUUAAUGAGAAUGCUGGCCGUUGCCAAGCGAAGACAAACUCAGGAAGACUGAGGUACAAACUCAGUUUCCCAAAAGCAAAAAAAGGAGCGGCUACGGUGAAAGCAGUAAAAACACAACCAACAUACUGCUAUACCCUCAGCCUGAUGCAUCUCCUCUUUGAAGAGGUAGUCCCUAACCCCCUGCCCUACUUGGAGGAAAGUCAGCAGAUUCCUGUGCCCAGUUCCCUAUCGUCCCAACACGAACGUCCACCCUUAAAAGACGCUAUUGCGGCCCAUGUAUCUCGCUUUAGAGUGGAGGAGGUUUAAAUCCAACAUAUUGGCCUUCCGCAUCAGGGAACUCCCCGCGUACAUGUUGGACCACACAAGAGGGGAUGACAACACGUAUCUUCCUGCCAAGAUAUCCCCAGCACCAGCUGACAAACGACCUGUAGGCCAAGUACCUGCAACGGCUGUCAAAAAGCAGAGGACAUUGUUGUUUAUGUAUAUAUGGCCAAGGCUGAACUGUACAUAGUGUGUGAGUUUUGUUUUGUCACGUGUAAAUAGAAUAAAAAAUGAUCAUUAUUUGUAUUGUUAUUAUGUGUAGGUACAGCUCCAUCACUUUGACUUUCACUAUACAAAAUAGUGUAUGAGAUUGGUAGACAUGUUUGAAUAUGCUGAUGUGCCGUAGUAUAGACAUUUUUUCAUCUCACUUACUCAUUGCCUCUAACUUGCAAGUUCCCAUAAUCACGUUGAUAAAUGUUCAGGGCAUUUUGCUGGGAAUAUCUAUUGAGACAAACUGGAUCUAGUCCUGGGUGGAUGGUCAUGCAUAAUAAUGGUGGAUCCUCG